rnacentral:rRNA from 1 species
GAUGAACGCUAGCGGCAGGCUUAAUACAUGCAAGUCGAGGGGCAGCAUGAUUGUAGCAAUACAAUUGAUGGCGACCGGCAAACGGGUGCGGAACACGUACACAACCUUCCAACAAGUGGGGGAUAGCCCAGAGAAAUUUGGAUUAAUACCCCGUAACAUAACGAUGUGGCAUCACAUUGUUAUUAUAGCUUCGGCGCUUCUUGAUGGGUGUGCGGCUGAUUAGAUAGUUGGCGGGGUAACGGCCCACCAAGUCUACGAUCAGUAGCGGAUGUGAGAGCAUGAUCAGCCACACGGGCACUGAGACACGGGCCCGACUCCUACGGGAGGCAGCAGUAAGGAAUAUUGGACAAUGACGCAAGUCUGAUCCAGCCAUGCCGCGUGAAGGAUUAAGGUCCUCUGGAUUGUAAACUUCUUUUAUAAGGGACGAAAAAAGGCUUUUCUAAGUCGUCUGACGGUACCUUAUGAAUAAGCACCGGCUAACUCCGUGCCAGCCGCCGCGGUAAGAC